GGCGAUGUAGCUCAGUUGGCUAGAGCACACGGUUCAUACCCGUGGUGUCGGCAGUUCGAAUCUGCCCGUCGCUA
rfam:Anaerostipes sp. 992a contig000005, whole genome shotgun sequence.